GUGUCAUCCUAUUACAGUGUCAUCCCAUCAUUCCAGUGUCAUUCCAAGCAGCAGUAUUGUUCCAUAGCCUACUUCAGUAGCCUAUGUGUUGCUUGAUUUGACCCAGUUUCCCCACAGUUCGCUAAAAGGACAUGUGCAACAAAUGCAGUGAAAAUGGAAAAAACUACAGGUUUACUGCCAAAAUGAGAAGUAUACUAGACCCUACUACACAACAGUAGCCUCUCCACUUGAUGUUAACAAACUGAACCACAACAGCUGUCUUCAGAUAAGCCAGAGUGGAACACAGACAUGGGUCAGAGAGACACAAGCCAAAGCCAUGGGUCUGGCCAGUCACAACCAGGUAAUCAACUGACCAGUCAUAUAACAGAUCACCAUAGGCCCAGGCGUCAGGAAAGUAACACAACACAGAGCCAUCCAUCCCUCUCUCUCUCUCUCUCUCUCUCUCUCUCUCAGUCCUCGCUCUGUGAAUCUGUCAUUCUCUCUCACCCUCUCUCUCUCUCAGUCCUCGCUCUGUAAAUCUGUCAUUCUCUCUCACCCUCUCUCUCUCUCUCAGUCCUCGCUCUGUAAAUCUGUCAUUCUCUCUCACCCUCUCUCUCUCUCUCAGUCCUCGCUCUGUAAAUCUGUCAUUCUCUCUCACCCUCUCUCUCUCUCUCUGUCCUCGCUCUGUAAAUCUGUCAUUCUCUCUCACCCUCUCUCUCUCUCUCAGUCCUCGCUCUGUAAAUCUGUCAUUCUCUCUCACCCUCUCUCUCUCUCUCUCUCUCUCUCAGUCCUCGCUCUGUAAAUCUGUCAUUCCCUCUCACCCUCUGUCUCUCUCUGAGUUCAGUUUAGAGGCUGGCAUUAACUGCUCAGUAUAAAGUGCAGGCCAGGGAAACAGAUUAAUGGCUGAACCUGUUUACAGACAAACCUCUAACAGGCCCUAUCAUCCCUGAAGGAACAAUAGGGGGAAUUGUUUCCAUUUACUGUGAUUGUUCAAUUACAGUUAAUCUGUUGGAAUAACCAUGGCUAUUUUCCAAUUGAAUUAAUCUGGAUUGGAUGUUUGUUUUGCUAAAACAAAGAGCUCAGAGGGCGAGACCCAUCUGGAGAGAAACAAAUCUCAUUAAUACGGUACAAUGUCCAGUAUCACAUCAGCAAGACCAUGGGCCCAGGGUCAAAAGUAGUGCACUAUAUAGGGAAUAGGGUGCCAGCUCACAACAUGGACGCAUUAUAAGGUGGGAGCACAAAUGGUUUUAACCAGGCUUUUUGGAUAGGUAGGGGAUACACUGUAAUAAUAGCGUGUGAAAAAUACUGACCCAAUAAAAAUGUUGUGAGAGAGUGACAAAAGGGGGGAGGGGGGUGUAAGCGGAGAGAGGAAAGUAACAGAGAGAUAUAGAGAGAGAAAGACUGAAAGAGGGGGGCAGGAGGGAGGAAGGCAGAAGGGCAGGGUGAAGAAGUUGGCGGUGUCAAUCUAGGUCUGCCAUCAGUAAUCUCAUAGAAUGGAAGUAUACCGUGGGCACAGAGUGCUGACUGACUGCACCAUUUCUUCCUCUCCAGACUGCAGUCCCGUGACUAGCUCCCUCCACAGUCACACAUUCACAUGAAGCAGCUAAAACUAUCAAUAGUCUAAUGUUAUGCCCACAGAUCUCAGUUCAUCAUAGGGACUGAUGUGUGGGUAGUCUUCAUUUCUUUUUAACUCACCCUUUCCCAGUCCCCUCCCACUCACAAGGCAGGCAAUACGCUGACCUCAUCUUUACUAGAGUCUGUUUGCCUACUAAUCUCACUGUAACCCCCCCUCCAGGUCUGUGAUUACCAGGGAUUGGAACCGGUUCAGAGAACAGAACCGAAAACCAGAAUAUAACAAAAAUGUUCUAGGAACAGGAACUGAACCGGGAACGAAAGUGACCCAUACUGUUCCGGAAAAUACCCAUUAUUUUAAAAGCAUGGAAACUGGUUAAUAACGUUUGUCUACGUUCCGGAAUUGUUUUUCUAGUCCCACAAAAAACUGCUACAAACCGCCUAUGCAAAGCCCUCACUCAGAAACGUAUUCCAGCGUCUGCCUGCAAGCUGAAAAUCUUUGCCAGAGUGUGUGUGCCCCUCCCCCUUCUGAAGCAUAGACUACUGUACUGACUUUACCAUAGACUACUGUACUGGCGUUACCAUAGACUACUGUACUGACGUUACCAUAGACUACUGUACUGACGUUACCAUAGACUACUGUACUGACUUUACCAUAGGCUACUGUACUGGCGUUACCAUAGGCUACUGUACUGACGUUACCAUAGACUACUGUACUGACGUUACCAUAGACUAGUGUACUGACGUUACCAUAGGCUACUGUACUGACUUUACCAUAGGCUACUGUACUGGCGUUACCAUAGGCUACUGUACUGACGUUACCAUAGACUACUGUACUGACGUUACCAUAGACUACUGUACUGACGUUACCAUAGGCUACUGUACUGACUUUACCAUAGGCUACUGUACUGACGUUACCAUGACUACUGUACUGACGUUACCAUAGGCUACUGUACUGACGUUACCAUAGGCUACUGUACUGACGUUACCAUAGGCUACUGUACUGACGUUACCAUAGACUACUGUACUGACGUUGCCAUAGACUACUGUACUGACGUUACCAUAGGCUACUGUACUGAAGUUACCAUAGGCUACUGUACUGACGUUACCAUAGACUACUGUACUGACGUUACCAUGACUACUGUACUGACGUUACCAUAGUCUACUGCACUGACGUUACCAUAGACUACUGUACUGACAUUACCAUAGGCUACUGUACUGACGUUACCAUAGGCUACUGUACUGAAGUUACCAUAGGCUACUGUACUGACGUUACCAUAGGCUACUGUACUGACUUUACCAUGACUACUGUACUGACGUUACCAUAGUCUACUGCACUGACGUUACCAUAGACUGCUGUACUGACGUUACCAUAGGCUACUGUACUGACUUUACCAUGACUACUGUACUGACGUUACCAUAGGCUACUGUACUGACUUUACCAUGACUACUGUACUGACGUUACCAUAGGCUACUGUACUGACUUUACCAUGACUACUGUACUGACGUUACCAUAGUCUACUGCACUGACGUUACCAUAGACUACUGUACUGACGUUACCAUAGGCUACUGUACUGACUUUACCAUGACUACUGUACUGAAGUUACCAUAGUCUACUGUACUGACUUUACCAUAGACUACUGUACUGACGUUACCAUAGGCUACUGUACUGACUUUACCAUGACUACUGUACUGAAGUUACCAUAGUCUACUGUACUGACUUUACCAUAGGUUACUGUACUGACUUUACCAUGACUACUGCACUGACGUUACCAUAGGCUACUGUACUGACGUUACCAUAGGCUACUGUACUGACUUUACCAUAGGCUACUGUACUGACAUUACCGUAGGCUACUGUACUGACGCUACCAUAGGCUACUGUACUGACGUUACCAUAGACUACUGUACUGACUUUACCAUGACUACUGUACUGACUUUACCAUGACUACUGUACUGACGUUACCAUAGACUACUGUACUGACGUUACCAUAGGCUACUGUACUGACGUUACCAUAGGCUACUGUACUGACUUUACCAUGACUACUGUACUGACGUUACCAUAGACUACUGUACUGACGUUACCAUAGGCUACUGUACUGACGUUCCCAUAGACUACUGUACUGACGCUACCAUAGGCUACUGUACUGACGCUACCAUAGGCUACUGUACUGACGUUACCAUAGGCUACUGUACUGACGUUACCAUAUUCUACUGUACUGACAUUACCAUAGGCUACUGUACUGACGUUCCCAUAGACUACUGUACUGACUUUACCAUAGGCUACUGUACUGACGUUACCAUAGGCUACUGUACUGACGUUACUAUAGGCUACUGUACUGAUGUUAGAAGCGUGAGGAGAUGGGGGAGAGAUUUUUUUAUUAUCUAUAGAAGAAUGGAUUAACUUUUUCAAUGCUAGUUAAGGAUACUAUUUCACGUUGGAUUUAUUAUCUACGAAAAGGUAAGACUUGUUUUUAAUUAUGGUGCCGCUCUGCAUGCACAAGCUUGUUAGCAUGCUAGCUCAAAGGACAUUCAAGGUUCCUUCAUAGAAGCCGCUCCUCCGUAGGUAUAACUCUGUGGACCUAAUUCAGAUAAUGCAUGUCAUAACAAGAUACCUAGCACUUCAAGCCUGCUCCUCAACCCCUUCGUAAAAUUUCAGUCACAUCUUUUGCCAUAGGCUGUCCAUCACGAAUGCAAACAACUAGUUUGCCUGCUCUAUCCGCACUGAUUGGUGAAGUAAUGAGCUACAUGUAAAAAACUGUUGAUUUCACAGGUUAAAAAAGGAACAGAGAGGAACGAUAUAAACCGGUACUGUUUUUUGUUUCAAACCAGUUAAAAACUUUAUUUUGCUGGUCGGAACAGUGGAACGGAACGAAAAGUAUGGUGGUUCUGUUCAGAGCAAACAAUUGGAAAAUAAUUUUGGUUCCAACCCCUGCUGAUCACUACUUUGUUUCCUUUUCUGUCUCCCAUUCCUCCAACCCUAACCGCUCAACCCUUAUCCAGAUGGUCAUGCGCCGUCACAAUCUUAUCUCGCUCUCUUUCCCACUACUCUCUCCUCUUCUAUCCUAUCAUCUAUGCCUUCUGAUAAACCCUACUCUCUUCCCUUUCCGCAUCAUAUGACUCGCACUGUCUCCUUUCCCUACCGGACGGCUCGGUCCUCCGCUCCUGCUCUCUGGCUGAGUGACUCAUUGCGAGCUGACAGAACAGUGCUGCAGGCAGCUGAGCAAAAAUGUAGAAAAACUCAUCUUCAGGAGGACCUAUCAUCCUUUCACUCCCUCCUCUCUACCUUCUCGCCCUCUGUGUCCACUGCUAAAGCCACUUUCUAUCACUCUAAAUUUCAAGCUUCUGCCUCUAACCCUAGGAAAAUCUUUUCCACCUUCUCCUCUCUCCUUAAU
rnacentral:lncRNA from 1 species